rnacentral:rRNA from 1 species
AUUGAACGCUGGCGGCAUGCCUUGCACAUGCAAGUCGAACGGCAGCGGACCUUCGGGUGCCGGCGAGUGGCGAACGGGUGAGUAAUGCAUCGGAACGUACCUUUCAGUGGGGGAUAACGUAGCGAAAGUUACGCUAAUACCGCAUAUUCUGUGAGCAGGAAAGCAGGGGAUCGCAAGACCUUGCGCUGAUUGAGCGGCCGAUGUCAGAGUAGCUAGUUGGUGAGGUAAAGGCACACCAAGGCGAAGAUCUGUAGCGGGUCUGAGAGGAUGAUCCGCCACACGGGGACUGAGACACGGCCCAGACGCCUACGGGAGGCAGCGGUGGGGAAUUUUGGACAAUGGGGGCAACCCUGAUCCAGCCAGGCCGCGUGAGUGAAGAAGGCCUUCGGGUUGUGAAGCUCUUUCGGCCGGGAAGAAAUCGCACAGGCUAAUACCUUGUGUGGAUGACGGUACCGGAAUAAGAAGCACCGGCUAACUACGUGCCAGCAGCCGCCGUAACAC